rnacentral:rRNA from 1 species
GAGUUUGAUUCUGGCUCAGAACGAACGCUGGCGGCGUGGAUAAGACAUGCAAGUCGAACGAGAUCUCCGAAUAGCUUGCUAAUUGGAGUGAAAGUGGCGGACGGGUGCGUAACACGUGAGCAACCUGCCCUGAAGUGGGGGAUAGCCCUCCGAAAGGAGGAUUAAUACCGCAUGUGGUCUUCGGAUCAAAGGUGGCUUCGGCUGCCGCUUUGGGAUGGGCUCGCGGCCUAUCAGCUUGUUGGUGAGGUAACGGCUCACCAAGGCGACGACGGGUAGCUGGUCUGAGAGGACGAUCAGCCUCACUGGAACUGAGACACGGUCCAGACACCUACGGGUGGCAGCAGUCGAGAAUCAUUCACAAUGGGGGAAACCCUGAUGGUGCAACGCCGCGUGGAGGAUGACGGCCCUCGGGUUGUAAACUCCUGUCAUCUGGGAGUAAGCCUUGUUCGUUAAUAGCGUGCAAGGUUGAUAGUACCAGAAGAGGAAGGGACGGCUAACUUCGUGCCAGCAGCCGCGGUAAUACGAAGGUCCCAAGCGUUGUUCGGAAUCACUGGGCGUAAAGCGUGCGUAGGCGG